AGCCGCCGCCGCCGUUUUCCCCGGUAUGGACGAACAGCGGGCGAGGUCUUUUAUGCCUUUCGCGGGAAGGUCAACAAACGGUGAGAAGCUAUCGAAAACGACCUGUUUUACCACAUUUCCAGGCCACUUGACCCACGGGGACCUGACUUUGCAACAUUCGUCGGGGGCGCUGCAAAAAGCUUAGCUUCUCGGAAACUCAGGCCUGCCUGUGUCUCUCAAGGAUGGACAGAGGUGGUUGUGGACUUAAAGACCCUUUGAUGUAAGGGAUAGAGAGAAGCUAAGUGAGCGCACCCAUCUCUGAACAUUUCAACCGCGAGGGAAUCCGAGCAAAGUAACAAUAAGAUACAACUAAUAUCCUAGGAAUGCUGUUGGUUUACAGUGUUCUGUCAAUUUUCUCCUGUACUGUCGGGAGCCAUAAGGCUGCUCCAGUAAAGAAAGCAAAGCCACAGUCGGCACCUGCAUGAGGCUUGUCUGGUUAGCAGAGCUACAGACAAGCUGAAGAAAGAAGAAGGAUUGCAGAGCAAUCCCUUGAAAGACAUCGGCUCCAGGAAAAUAAAAAUGAUAUCCCCUAAAAAAUAUGUUAAUCUAUUUUUCUGUGUUUAUCUUUCCUUUUCUAUCUCUAUUCACAGCUUUCUUACUGCUAAAGAUUUGCCCUGGGUACGUAAAACACUUGAACCAAAACAGAAUGAAGUUAUUUAAACAAUGUAAUGGAAAAAGCCUUUGUUUUGGAGUAACAAUUUAUGGCACCUAUUUUGUGAGAGUAUACAGGGGAAACUUAUGAUUUCAGUCCCUUUACUUAAAAAGAAGUUUGGGGCUGGGAAAAUGUUGUUUGGCCUAUAAAUUGCUAUUUUCUAUAAUAGAUAUAUUUUUUAACAGUGUCACUUGUAACUUUCAUCCCUUGUGGGGGCAUUUGUUAAUUUUUGGGUAUAAUACUCCUUUCUAUUGAAAUUGGUGGUUUGGAACUUACGUAAAUCAGCACAAUAGGUUAAAUGCUUAGCUUGCUGGCGCCAAAUAAAUCGUGGUUUUAAGAAUGCCAUGAGCCCAAGGCUUUCAUGCGUUUUGUUAACUACAUACACCUUUAGUUAAAGAAUGUUAGGUAUCAUAGUUUAUUACUUAUUAAAGCUUUGUUCUUAAUAUAGAAUAGAAUAGCUACUGUUGUUGACCUUUUAAGAAAAAUACAGUGUGAAACUUUAAGUUUGUAAUCUUGAAGGAAAAUCUAAAGUUGAAAGGAACAUGUUUUAACUAACCUUUUUUUGUAUCUCGGGUGGAGGGAACAAAAGGGCUUUAAAUCAAAUGUUAAUGUCAAAUCUUACACGAAACCUGAUUGUGAUAGGGUAUAAAAACUGAUGCUUUUCAUUUAAUAAAUUGGGUCAUCUGCAGCAUG
rnacentral:lncRNA from 1 species